ACGAGUGGCGGACGGGUGAGUAAUGUCCGGGAAACUGCCUGAUGGAGGGGGAUAACUACUGGAAACGGUAGCUAAUACCGCAUAACGUCGCAAGACCAAAGAGGGGGGCCUUCGGGCCUCUUGCCAUCGGAUGUGCCCAGAUGGGAUUAGCUUGUUGGUGGGGUAACGGCUCACCAAGGCGACGAUCCCUAGCUGGUCUGAGAGGAUGACCAGCCACACUGGAACUGAGACACGGUCCAGACUCCUACGGGAGGCAGCAUG
rnacentral:rRNA from 1 species